CGGGUGAGUAACGCGUAUGCAACCUGCCCUUCACAGGGGGAUAACCGGGAGAAAUUCCGACUAAUACCGCAUACGUCCUCCGGGGGCAUCCCCGGGGGAUGAAAGAAUUAUCGGUGAAGGAUGGGCAUGCGUGAUAUUAGGUAGUUGGCGGGGCAACGGCCCACCAAGCCGACGAUGUCUAGGGGUUCUGAGAGGAAGGUCCCCCACACUGGAACUGAGACACGGUCCAGACUCCUACGGGAGGCAGCAGUGAGGAAUAUUGGUCAAUGGGCGAGAGCCUGAACCAGCCAAGUCGCGUGAGGGAAGAAUGGUCUAUGGCCUGUAAACCUCUUUUGUCAAGGAAGAAUAAGGAUGACGAGUCAUUCGAUGCCAGUACUUGACGAAUAAGCAUCGGCUAACUCCGUGCCAGCAGCCGCGGUAAUACGGAGGAUGCGAGCGUUAUCCGGAUUUAUUGGGUUUAAAGGGAGCGCA
rnacentral:rRNA from 1 species